rnacentral:misc_RNA from 1 species
GAUGAAGAACGUAGCGAAAUGCGAUACUUGGUGUGAAUCGCAGAAUCCCGUGAACCAUCGAGUCUUUGAACGCAAGUUGCGCCCGAAGCCAUUAGGCCGAGGGCACGCCUGCCUGGGCGUCACACGUCGUUGCCCCCCCAUCUACUCCUUCGGGAUUGCGGGGGGCGGAUGAUGGCCUCUCGUGCGCCUCGUCGCGCGGUUGGCCUAAAUGCCAAGUCCUCGGCGACGCACGCCACGACAAUCGGUGGUUGCGAAACCUCGGUUGCCUGUCGUGUGCGGUCGUCGCGCAUCGAGGGCUCGAAAAAAUUGCCGGGCUUCGGCUCGACUUUCAACGCGACCCCAGGUCAGGCGGGGUUACCCGCUGAAUUUAAGCAUAUCAAUAAGCGGAGGA